rnacentral:rRNA from 1 species
GACGAACGCUGGCGGCGUGCUUAACACAUGCAAGUCGAACGGAAAGGCCCCUUUGGGGGUACUCGAGUGGCGAACGGGUGAGUAACACGUGAGUAACCUGCCCUUGACUUCUGGAUAACUUCAGGAAACUGGGGCUAAUACCGGAUAGGAAUCCUUGCUGCAUGGUGGGGGUUGGAAAGCUUCGGCGGUUUUGGAUGGACUCGCGGCUUAUCAGCUUGUUGGUGGGGUAGUGGCUUACCAAGGCUUUGACGGGUAGCCGGCCUGAGAGGGCGACCGGCCACAUUGGGACUGAGGUACGGCCCAGACUCCUACAGGAGGCAGCAGUGGGGAAUAUUGCACAAUGGGCGGAAGCCUGAUGCAGCAACGCCGCGUGCGGGAUGACGGCCUUCGGGUUGUAAACCGCUUUCAGCAGGGGCGAAGCUUGUGGUGACGGUACCUGCAGAAGAAGCACCGGCUAACUACGUG